CUAGGAGUAGCUCAGUCUGGUCAGAGUACUCGUCUUGGACACGAGUGGUCAUUGGUUCGAAUCCAAUCUUCUAGACCA
rnacentral:tRNA from 1 species